AGGGUUAGGGUUAUUAACAUUAUCUAUUCAGUACUUAAAACCUGGUAUUGAGUUGACCCAACUUUAAAUGUAUUAGUUUUCUGAGCAAGUUUACUUGAGUAAACAUUACCUGAUAACUAAUAUUAUUUUUAGUAUCAUUCAAACGUGACGUCUGACGUCAUCAACGUCGUUGCAGGACUAGUUCAGAACAGAAUCAGAGACACGAUUGCGGAGAUCUUGUGAUGAGAGACGGAGACAGCAGACUUAAUAAAUGUUUAGCAUCAGUUAGACUUCUAUAAGCACGUUCCUCCUGUAGAAGAGGAGUCGACCGAAGGAGAUAUUUUAGUAAUCCUGUCGCUGCUAAGCGUCCUUAUCUGGGUUAUUCAGUUCCACCGCAUUACAAAUGUGAACCUGCGCAACACAUUCUACUCAGAGCUUGACCGAUACACACCACGACUGAUCAUUCUACUCGGAGCUUGACAGAUACACACCACGACUGAUCACCUUGUACAGGCAGAAGGCAUCACGGACUGGCAAGACAGCAGAGGUGCUACGGGUGAUCCUCGAGGCUUAUGACCUUCAGGUAUGUCUAGGGUUAACUGCACAACAGUGAUCACAUUUUGUUUGUUACUGAAACUUUAAUAUUAGUUGAUACUAUGUAUUAUUAAUUGCCAAGGAAUCUGUCAGCUGAUAGUGAUCAAACAUCAGACACAUUUAUGAGUUAUUGUUGAGAGGGCCUAGACAAGCAAUGAAAAAGUUCAAAUAUAUUCUUGCAAUGAUUAUUAUUUUAAUAUGUCAAGGAAUAUCAUGAUGUCAAUUUGAGACGCACUUUGUCCCUUUGUGCACUUCCUGUCUACCUGCGUGAGGAUGUUUCGGUGUUCAAGACCUGCAAUGAGGAAGAGGAGCCAGAUUUCGAUGAUGCUCCUGUUGCUCUCCUUACAUCGGGUCCCGACCCCUUCAGCUGCGGGGAACGUCUUUGUCGUUGUUGAAGGCAAUGUUGUUUUGAAUGGGGUGCAGAGGUUUUCUGAGGCAUUUAUGUUUAUGUUGUUUGGCCUGACAUAUGCUUUCAAUUUAGAAUAUCCCCAAAAAAACUCACGCACACAUUCUCAUGCAUACAGAAAAUUUGUAUGUGUCUGGAUGACAACAAACCUCUGAAACUGUCUUUCUUCAGCGUUGCAAUAAUGUUAACUUCUGCUAGCGAUGCAAAUCCUAUGAAGACGGCUGGAAGGGCAUUCAAGUGGAAGUGUAGUGCUACUGUUGAGGUCGUGUAGGUCGCUGAGAGGGAUGUUAAAACUUACUCUUCAAAACCAAACUCUCACAAAGUUAACGUCAUCCCUUUCAGCGACCUACACGACCUAAACAGCAGCAGCACUACACACACACUUGAAUGCUUUACACACACACUUGAAUGCUCUACACAAACCUUAUAAUCCUUAAUAAACAAUAAACAAUAAACA
rnacentral:lncRNA from 1 species